UACGUAGGGUGCGAGCGUUGUCCGGAAUUAUUGGGCGUAAAGAGCUCGUAGGCGGUGUGUCGCGUCGGCCGUGAAAACCUGCAGCUUAACUGUGGGCUUGCGGUCGAUACGGGCAUCACUUGAGUUCGGCAGGGGAGACUGGAAUUCCUGGUGUAGCGGUGAAAUGCGCAGAUAUCAGGAGGAACACCGGUGGCGAAGGCGGGUCUCUGGGCCGAUACUGACGCUGAGGAGCGAAAGCGUGGGGAGCGAACAGG
rnacentral:rRNA from 1 species